rnacentral:RNase_P_RNA from 1 species
AAAGUUUGACAGACAAUCGCCGGCAGCUUUAAGACUGCGGGAGGAAAGUCCGGGCUCCAUAGGGCAGGAUGCUGGAUAACGUCCAGUCAGCGCGAGCUGAAGGAUAGUGCCACAGAAACGGACCGCCGAUGGCCUGUACGCGUACAGGCACAGGCAAGGGUGGAACCGUGGUGUAAGAGACCACGAGCGGUACUGGUGACAGUACGGCUGGUAAACCCCAUCUGGAGCAAGACCUAAGAGAACACAGCGGCUUCGCGCCGCGGCUUUGGCACCGAAGCGUGUUCGGGUUGGUCGCUUGAAUUUUUCAGCAAUGGAAAAUCUAGAUAGAUGAUUGUCGCCUAACAGUGGGAGGGUCGUUCCCGUUCGGACCACUUCAGGUACAGAACCCGGCUUACGGCAAACUUUCCGU